GGGGAAUCUUCCGCAAUGGGCGAAAGCCUGACGGAGCAACGCCGCGUGAGUGAAGACGGCCUUCGGGUUGUAAAGCUCUGUUAUACGGGACGAAUAGUCUUGUGGUUAAUACCCAUAAGAAGUGACGGUACCGUAAGAGAAAGCCACGGCUAACUACGUGCCAGCAGCCGCGGUAAUACGUAGGUGGCAAGCGUUGUCCGGAAUUAUUGGGCGUAAAGGGCGCGCAGGCGGCUUCUUAAGUCUGUCUUAAAAGUGCGGGGCUUAACCCCGUGAUGGGAUGGAAACUGGGAAGCUCAGAGUAUCGGAGAGGAAAGCGGAAUUCCUAGUGUAGCGGUGAAAUGCGUAGAUAUUAGGAGGAACACCAGUGGCGAAAGCGGCUUUCUGGACGAAAACUGACGCUGAGGCGCGAAAGCCAGGGGAGCGAACGGGAUUAGAUACCCCGGUAGUCCUGGCCGUAAACGAUGGGUACUAGGUGUAGGAGGUAUCGACCCCUUCUGUGCCGGAGUUAACGCAAUAAGUACCCCGCCUGGGGAGUACGGCCGCAAGGUUG
rnacentral:rRNA from 1 species